AAAAAAGUACAUUUUCUCAACUCCAAAAUGUAAAUACGACUCUACUUCCAUAUUUUAGCUUGAGUUCUUAAAAUUUAACUGUUCUUCAGUUUUCCUAGCUUUAGUUGUAGCCGAAAGUGGUAAAAGUACUUCUUCUACGUAACCAAUCUUUACAAUUUAGAGUCUUUAAGGUCAAAAUUGAAAAUAGGGUUCUAUAUUUCUCUUGUUUAUUGAAGUUUUGAGCUUACGAAGUCUGCAAUUUGAUGUGUUUUGUGGAUUUUCUAGUUGUUAAGAAUGGGAAUGUUGAUGGGAGUUCUAGUUUUUUAAAAUGGGAAUUUUGAUGGGUUUGUCUAGUUGUUAAGAAUGAAAUUUUGAUGGGUUUUAUGAAAUCUGCAAUUUUGAUGGGGUUUAUGUGAUUAGUUGUUAAGAUCUUCCCAUUACACAUUUUAUCAUGCGACACAAACAUUCACAAAUUACUGCUUGAGUCUCUUCAUAAUAUGGAUAGUGCAUUGUGUAAAAUUUUAUUAGGGUGUUAAUUUUGGUAAUAGUAUUAUAUGACACUUGGAUAUUGAGCUACAAGUUUGAGUUUUUCUUAUUGGAAAAGUUACGAUGAACUGGUGUUAGUUUAUUGAAUAGGGUGGGUGAUCCUUUGGCUAGGCCAGGAAUAGAGUUUAUGAUUAAGGAUAGACAAUUGAUGUGCCUGAGAAGAGGGUCACUCAAAAAUAACCUUUCUACCUCCAUGAGGUAGAGGCAAAGGUCUGUGUGCACUCUACUUGGAAUUGUGGGAUUUCACUGAAAUGUUGUUAUUGCUGAACAUAGAGACAAGCAGUGUCACUGAUUGAGAAAAAUAUAGGCAAGUCAUGUCGAGAGAAUGAAAGUAUGGAAGUUAUGUAGUAAACUUGAGCUUCUAGACAUGCUUCAAAAGUGUAUCUUUUGGUUUGUUGCUGUUUGUGAAAGUUUAUGCUUUUGUUUCAUUGAACUUGUUAAAUAUCCAAUUACAAUAUUCAAUAACGUGUUCGGUGAGUCCUAAGAUAUGGGGAUAGGAGUCAGUGGAUUAUUUAGUUGUGUCAGGGGAAGUAUAUCUUUCGAGAACUUGUCGGAUUUACGUAAAGCCUGAAUUUUUUGUUUGUUCGAGUAAAGUUACAAGUGUAUCUAGAACCUAGAACUUCUAGUUUUUAAAGUUAUUAAAUUUAUAACUAACUGUACAACUUGUGUUAUGCCAAACUUGUACCUAUGUGCAAAGUUCUUUAGGCUGUUUUGGCCCUUACAGAUGCUUGGCUCAAAGGUUUUGUGUUCUUCGUUACGUGUAAGGACCUGAACUAUACUUCUGUCUAUGAGUUGAUCAAUUUCUUUCGCCAAUGUUAAGCAUUUUAUGCUUGACACUGUAUGGUAAUUAAAUGAAAUCAUUCAAUUCUCUUUCUUUAAUAGCUAACCAUACAACUCACAUUGUGCCCUUAACAACAACACUGAUCUUCUUCGACUCUAAAUUACUCCUUUUUUAGUGUUCUACAAAAUCUGGUGACAUCAGUUGGAAUGGGUUUGUAAGGGGUCUGCAGGAAUGUGCUUAUGGUGGGUGCUCUCCUUUAGGUCAUUUGACUGUAAUGCAUUAUUUCGUAGUAUUUCAAAUAUGUCAGAAUAAACUUGUUCAUAGUUUGGUAGAGUCUGAACAGUGUUUCCCAAGAGAGAUUUAGCAUGUUGUUACAACCAUUGCGAAGUUAUUGACAACUACUAACUCAUUAAUGUGGCACAGUUGCCUCUCAUACCCUCCUCUUCCCUUAUUUUGUAGCCAUCAUCAUUUGUUUGCUUGGUCACUUUCGUGAUAAAGACACUUAAAAGGAUUCUUAAAGCCCAGAAUAGAAUAUUUUAAAUCAACUUUUGUGAUUGAACGACUUAUUUAAACUCCACAUGAACUAGAUGCUUGAUCUUCAAAGCCAGAACAAAGUAUAUUUGGUUCCUAGUUUUUUCUAAUGAUUGCAGUGUAGAACUAUCAAUAGAUAGAUCGUCCUCAGAAGUUACUGCUCUGUAAUUUGGAUUGUGCAAUGUACAUGGUGGGUCCUCUAUACUUUUGGUUCCUAUUUUUUUUCUUUUCCACUUUCAAGUUCUUAUAUUUUGAUGUUGCAGAUUUCACUUGGUGGGUAAAAGGAAGGAAAAGUAUCAAAACAGUGACUACUGCUUACUAAAGCUAGUAUAAAAUGCCAAACUUCCAUUUGAAUUGAUAUAGUAGAAUAAAUCUGUUCUUUUCAUAUUCUAGGAAAAUAUGAAGCAAAAAUGCAAGAAGUCAACACAAUCAUUGUUAGCAAGCCUGUGAGGACGACAAACUGACAACCAUAACAUAUCUUCCCAAGAUUUGGAUCAACAAGAUGACCAUGUUGUGAAUGAGAAUAUGACAACUCCUACUCUUAGUGAUGGCAAUUUAAUUUCUUCUUCAAACUCUAUUGAAGCUAGCUCAAAAGUGAAAGAGAAAUCGCUACUUGUCAAGAUUAAAG
rnacentral:lncRNA from 1 species